rnacentral:tRNA from 3 species
AUUUAAAUAGCUUAUAUUUAGAGUAUAACAUUGAAGAUGUUAGGGAAAUUAAUAAUAAUUUUUAAAUA